GAAAUGCGAUAAGUAAUGUGAAUUGCAGAAUUCAGUGAAUCAUCGAAUCUUUGAACGCACCUUGCGCUCCUUGGUAUUCCUUGGAGCAUGCCUGUUUGAGUAUCAUGAAAUCUUCAAAGUAAAUCUUUUGUUAACUCAAUUGGUUUCUACUUUGGUAUUGGAGGUCUUUGCAGUUUCACACCUGCUCCUCUUUGUUCAUUAGCUGGAUCUCAGUGUUAUGCUUGGUUCCACUCGGCGUGAUAAGUUAUCUAUCGCUGAGGACACUGUAAAAGGUGGCCAAGGUAAAUGCAGAUGAACCGCUUCUAAUAGUCCAUUGACUUGGACAAUACUUUUAUGAUCUGAUCUCAAAUCAGGUAGGACUACCCGCUGAACUUAAGC
rnacentral:misc_RNA from 1 species